UAGAAAAAAAUGAAGAUGGCAGUUGUUUUUGUUUUGUGUUUAAAAAAACACACACACAUCUUCUGCUGUUACUAUCCCCGUUCUCUCUUUUAGAUAAAACCCGUUUUCAUCAAAUUGCAAGUCAGACGUAUUUCUUCAAUAAUACCCACGCAACCCUAUUCGAAACAUGGUUUUGCUAAUUUGUCAGUACUAUUGUACAAGUAGCAGCACCGUCACUGUAUUGUUUAGAACCUCUAUCCUCGCUCUAUAGCCGACACAAUGUUGUUGUUACGUUAGCAAAGUGCUUUCACUGGGCGAAAAAAUAAAUGAAACAAAACAGUCUGGAAAACGUUUUUGUGGAGACGUGUUGAGAGUGGCAAGCGGGAACACACCAAUAUAGCGGAUUCACUUAGCAAGACUUAGUACAGAAGACCGGGGAAAGAAACGGCGUUCGGAAAGCGAUGGAAGUGGGAGGCCCGGUACCAAGAACCACAAGCGUUGUGUGGGAUUUCAAUGGCCAUCCUAGCAAUUCACAGGUUCAGUGCAGCAUGCAAAAGAAAGGUGAAAUAUCACUACAGCUUUGCUGUAACAUCUAAAAAAGAGGCACCCAACCGCCUUUCUCACUCGAUUACCACAAGAGCUUCUGUGAAAACAAGGAAGAGCGUGAUGUUUAGACAACUGGAAGACAUUAAGAAGAGAUUUUUCACACAGGCCUCUGUCCUUUUUUCUUCAAGUGAUACAACACUGAUGAGCAUCCUAAGGACUUCUCACCUCUCUCUGUUGCUGGCAAGGAACCUGGAGCAAACUUAAGGAGCUUGAAGGACACAUUAAUUUUGGGAAAAUCUUCAUCACUGACACUGCUGCUUGGCUUGUGUCAAUGACAGUGGUAGUGAGCGACAGCAAUGGGUCUCUUCUCUUAUGGAUUAAUCCUCCUGACACAGCAAGUUGCUCAUGAGAAAAACAGGUGCUCCUGUUUAUAGUACACAAGGCUGCCUAAGCUCACAGCUUUGACAGGUAGUGGAUGGUUUAGGGCUGGUUGCCGUCCUUGGACGUCAUGUUCAGGAUCACACAAGGUGGAAAUGAGACAAGAGUGGAGUUGGACCACGCCGUGGGAACCUGAUUAAAAUGUGAAGUGUGCAAUUUCCUCACAAACAUUUUCAAAAUUGGAGAUCAGAUGUGGAACAUUUUAUGCAAUGCAGAGGAACUGAAAGGCGUGCUCAGAAGACGUAAACUUUUCCAACAUUCUUCUUUUAAAUACAUUUUUUAAAUACUGUUAUAAAAUUCAUAUUUUUUUCUUUCUUUUCUGUUAUCUUGGCUAGAGCUGCAAACUGUAUAAUACAAAGCUGGUAGAAUUAUUGGUAAAUAAUUGCAUUACAUUAAGAAGUAGCGUUGUAAUAUUUACAUAAAAAAAGAAACCGCGCUAAUCUACAAACUUUAGUUAAUUAUCCUCUGUAAUAACCUGUUUUUGUUUUACUUUUAAAAACAGCGUGUGUUAAAAUGAAAUGUAAAUACUUAUUUGUUGCGAGGUUCUCAAGAUAAGCCUUUUCAUAGCUAUAUGGAAUGCAUCCCAAAAAGAUCCAGACAUUCAAAAACUGCAAAAAAAUACAAAUUUAUUUUUACCGUUUACCACGCAAUCAGUGUGUAAUGUACAUUUUGUACGUGUUUAUUAGCUUACUUCCAUAUUUGAUGCAGUGAAAAUCCCAUUAUAAUCACAUUUUUAAUUUAAGGUCAAACGGAAAUCGAGAUAAUGUGGCUCAGUACUGAGGAUGGUGAGGAGGCCGAUUGUAAUGCUAACAACUAACAAUGUGUGUGAGCAUGUGUCUAGUUUUGCCUUAGGCCACCCAGCUGUUAAUCUAAGAAUACACAAUUAAUGACAUUCUGUGAAUUGUAUCUAACACACAUGGUGGGCUAUAAAAAAGGAUGAAGCAAUUGUAGGUCCCCUAAUACCUGUGUUAUGGACUUAUCCUUUAUAUAUGGAAAUUUAUAACCAUGUUUAUAUCAUCUCUUUGAUCAUAUUAUCUCAGCAACAUCUAGGUCAAAGUGGAUAGGGAAUACCUCCAAUUUUUUCAUGGGAGUUUGUGUAAUGGAAAGAAAUGAUCUCGAUGAACCCUUGUCAUGUGAACGCUAGACCUCAGUGGUAAAAGAGCGAUCUUGGCUGACUGUUUCUGAUAUUCUUGGAAGCCAUCAAGAGUGCAAGCAGGCAAGCAACAAGCAAGCAGCUCAGAUCUACUGGCUGAUAGGUCUUUCAGAGAUGAGAGUAAAAAGAACCAGCCUCGGUUUCUGCUCUGGUGUCUUUAGGCCCUGUAUAUGAGCACUGGAGGGUAGCAAUAUAACAAUGAGUAGCCAAAGAGGGCCUUCUUUGUUGAGAGGACUAACGCUGCGGCCUCAGUCCCAUGAGGAGGAGCAUCUGAAGCUCACAAGGGGAUCACAAGGAGGUCAGCUGUCCCCUGAGUUUUAUCAAGGCCUGGGCUGUGGUAACUCUCUUGAUUUUUUCACCAUCUGAGAAGAUCACUGUCAAUGCCGAGAGAAUAAAGAGUCCCUUUCUUCCCCCACUGCCAUCUGAAAAUACAAUCUGCGGGCUCAUGAAACUGGACACCUUGUUAGCUCCGGUUCCUCAGAUAAGGCAAUUUUUUUCUCUCUCUCUCUCUCUCUCACUCUUUUUUGUUUUUUGUAAAUCCUCAGAGUGCUGAUCAUUUGCAAUGCAGGUGUCUAAUUUUCAUUAAAAUUGCAAAUUGGAGUGGAUGCUCAAUCUGAUAAGAGA